rnacentral:rRNA from 1 species
UACGGAAGGCAGCAGUGGGGAAUAUUGCACAAUGGGCGCAAGCCUGAUGCAGCCAUGCCGCGUGUAUGAAGAAGGCCUUCGGGUUGUAAAGUACUUUCAGUCGUGAGGAAGGUGUUAAGGUUAAUAACCUUAGCAAUUGACGUUAGCGACAGAAGAAGCACCGGCUAACUCCGUGCCAGCAGCCGCGGUAAUACGGAGGGUGCGAGCGUUAAUCGGAAUUACUGGGCUAAAGGGCACGCAGGCGGUUAAUUAAGUUGGAUGUGAAAUCCCCGGGCUUAACCUGGGAAUGGCAUUCAAGACUGGUUAGCUAGAGUCUUGUAGAGGGGGUAGAAUUCCAUGUGUAGCGGUGAAAUGCGUAGAGAUGUGGAGGAAUACCGGGUGGCGAAGGCGGCCCCUGGGCAAAGGCUGACGCUCAUGUGCGAAAGCGUGGGGAGCAAACAGGGAUUAGAUACC